GGGGGCUAUAAUGCAGUCGAGCGGACAGAUGGGAGCUUGCUCCCUGAUGUUAGCGGCGGACGGGUGAGUAACACGUGGGUAACCUGCCUGUAAGACUGGGAUAACUCCGGGAAACCGGGGCUAAUACCGGAUGGUUGUUUGAACCGCAUGGUUCAGACAUAAAAGGUGGCUUCGGCUACCACUUACAGAUGGACCCGCGGCGCAUUAGCUAGUUGGUGAGGUAACGGCUCACCAAGGCAACGAUGCGUAGCCGACCUGAGAGGGUGAUCGGCCACACUGGGACUGAGACMCGGCCCAGAYUCCUACGGGAGGCAGCAGUAGGGAAUCUUUCCGCAAUGGACGAAAGUCUGACGGAGCAACGCCGCGUGAGUGAUGAAGGUUUUCGGAUCGUAAAGCUCUGUUGUUAGGGAAGAACAAGUGCCGUUCAAAUAGGGCGGCACCUUGACGGUACCUAACCAGAAAGCCACGGCUAACUACGUGCCAGCAGCCGCGGUAAUACGUAGGUGGCAAGCGUUGUCCGGAAUUAUUGGGCGUAAAGGGCUCGCAGGCGGUUUCUUAAGUCUGAUGUGAAAGCCCCCGGCUCAACCGGGGAGGGUCAUUGGAAACUGGGGAACUUGAGUGCAGAAGAGGAGAGUGGAAUUCCACGUGUAGCGGUGAAAUGCGUAGAGAUGUGGAGGAACACCAGUGGCGAAGGCGACUCUCUGGUCUGUAACUGACGCUGAGGAGCGAAAGCGUGGGGAGCGAACAGGAUUAGAUACCCUGGUAGUCCACGCCGUAAACGAUGAGUGCUAAGUGUUAGGGGGUUUCCGCCCCUUAGUGCUGCAGCUAACGCAUUAAGCACUCCGCCUGGGGAGUACGGUCGCAAGACUGAAACUCAAAGGAAUUGACGGGGGCCCGCACAAGCGGUGGAGCAUGUGGUUUAAUUCGAAGCAACGCGAAGAACCUUACCAGGUCUUGACAUCCUCUGACAAUCCUAGAGAUAGGACGUCCCCUUCGGGGGCAGAGUGACAGGUGGUGCAUGGUUGUCGUCAGCUCGUGUCGUGAGAUGUUGGGUUAAGUCCCGCAACGAGCGCAACCCUUGAUCUUAGUUGCCAGCAUUCAGUUGGGCACUCUAAGGUGACUGCCGGUGACAAACCGGAGGAAGGUGGGGAUGACGUCAAAUCAUCAUGCCCCUUAUGACCUGGGCUACACACGUGCUACAAUGGRCAGAACAAAGGGCAGCGAAACCGCGAGGUUAAGCCAAUCCCACAAAUCUGUUCUCAGUUCGGAUCGCAGUCUGCAACUCGACUGCGUGAAGCUGGAAUCGCUAGUAAUCGCGGAUCAGCAUGCCGCGGUGAAUACGUUCCCGGGCCUUGUACACACCGCCCGUCACACCACGAGAGUUUGUAACACCCGAAGUCGGUGAGGUAACCUUUAGGAGCCAGCCGCCGAAGGUGACA
rnacentral:rRNA from 1 species